rnacentral:lncRNA from 1 species
CUAGACUCCGGACCCGCCAGUGGUAUGGCUGAGCCGACUAGUGAUUUCGAGACUCCUAUCGGGUGGCAUGCGUCUCCCGAGCUGACUCCCACGUUAGGGCCCCUGAGCGACACUGCCCCGCCGCGGGACAGCUGGAUGUUCUGGGCAAUGCUGCCGCCACCGCCACCACCACUUACGUCCUCGCUUCCCGCAGCCGGGUCAAAGCCUUCCUCUGAGUCGCAGCCCCCCAUGGAGGCCCAGUCUCUCCCCGGGGCUCCGCCCCCCUUCGACGCCCAGAUUCUUCCCGGGGCGCAACCCCCCUUCGACGCCCAGUCUCCCCUUGAUUCUCAGCCUCAACCCAGCGGCCAGCCUUGGAAUUUCCAUGCUUCCACAUCGUGGUAUUGGAGACAGUCUUCUGAUAGGUUUCCUCGGCAUCAGAAGUCCUUCAACCCUGCAUUAAAAAUUCUUAUUAUCCACGAAAGUAUGAUGCAAAAUUCACAGACUUCAGCUUACCUCCCAGUAGAAAACAGAAAAAAAAGGUAUUUGA